rnacentral:tRNA from 1 species
GAGAGAAGCCCGCUGGCACUAAAGACUGCUAAUCUUUUCCCUCCAUGGUUAAACCCCCUGGUUCCCUCG